UACGGAAGGGGCAAGCGUUGUUCGGAAUCAUUGGGCGUAAAGGGCGCGUAGGCGGUCACGUAUGUCUGCUGUGAAAGCGCACGGCUCAACCGUGUGAAGUCGGUAGAAACUGCGGGACUUGAGGCUGGGAGAGGUUGGUGGAAUUCCUGGUGUAGCGGUGAAAUGCGCAGAUAUCGAGGAGGAACACCGGUGGCGAAGGCGGGUCUCUGGGCCGAUACUGACGCUGAGGAGCGAAAGCGUGGGGAGCGAACAGG
rnacentral:rRNA from 1 species